AUAUUGGGACAUAUAAAAAAAGACAACUCUGUUCUACAGAGUAGCUGUUGACAUUAUAGUUGCGCAGGAAAUUUGUUGACUCUAGAGAACCUCGGGUAAAUCGUACAUCCCCGUGGCGGCGACUUUGCAUGCGGAUGUCAUCCAUAUCAACUUUCGAUGCCAGUUUCUGCGCCUACCAUGGUGACCACAGGUAACUGGGAAUCAGGGUUCCAUUCCGUACAGGGAACCUGAGAAACGGCUACCACAUGCAAGGAAGGCAGCAGGCGCGCAAAUGACCCACUCCUGACGCGGGAAGGUAGU